UGCCCGCAAGGGAAUGUAGUGAGAGGUGCUGCAUGGCUGUCGUCAGCUCGUGUUGUGAAAUGUUGGGCUAAGUCUCGCAACGAGCGCAACCCCUAUCGUCUGUUGCCAGCAUUAAGUUGGGCACUCUGACGAGACUGCCUGGGUUAACCAGGAGGAAGGUGGGGAUGACGUCAAGUCCUCAUGGCCCUUAUGUCUAGGGCUACACACGUAAUACAAUGGCGCGUACAGAGGGAAGCGAACUCGCAAGGGGGAGCAAAUCUCAAAAAGCGCGCCCCAGUUCGGAUUGGAGUCUGCAACUCGACUCCAUGAAGUUGGAAUCGCUAGUAAUCGGAGAUCAGCACGCUCC
rnacentral:rRNA from 1 species